rnacentral:lncRNA from 1 species
UUGGUGCCAUGGUGCCCAGCCCCGGUGCUCCCGGUGCCAUGGUGCCCAGGGGUGCCCAGCCCCGGUGCUUUCGGUGCCAUGGUGCCCAGCCCCGGUGCUUUCGGUGCCAUGGUGCCCUGGGGUGCCCAGCCCCGGUGCUUUCGGUGCCAUGGUGCCCAGGGGUCCCCAGCCCCGGUGCUAUCGGUGCCAUGGUGCCCAGCCUCGGUGCUUUCGGUGUCAGGGUGCCCAGGGGUGCCCAGCCCCGGUGCUUUCAGUGCCAUGGUGCCCAGGGGUGCCCAGUCCCGGUGCUUUUGGUGCCAUGGUGCCCAGGGGUGCCCAGCCCCGGUGCUUUCGGUGCCUAGGGGUGCCCAUCCCCGGUGCUUUCAGUGCCAUGGUGCCCAGGGGUGCCCAGCCCUGGUGCUUUUGGUGCCAUGGUGCCCAGGGGUACCCAGCCCUGGUGCUAUCGGUGCCAUGGUGCCCAGGGGUGCCCAGCCCCGGUGAUUUCGGUGCCAUGGUGCCCAGGGGUGCCCAUCCCCGGUGCUAUCGGUGCCAUGGUGCCCAGCACCGGGGAUUUCAGUGUCAGGGUGCCCAGGGGUGUCCAGCCCCGGUGCUCCCAGUGUCAUGGUGCCCAGGGGUGCCCAGCCCCGGUGCUUUCGGUGCCAUGGCGCCCAGCCCCGGUGCUCCCGGUGCCAUGGUGCCCAGGGGUGCCCAGCCCCGGUGCUUUCAGUGCCAUGGUGCCCAGCCCCGGUCCUUUCAGUGCCAUGGUGCCCAGGGGUACCCAGCCCUGGUGCUUUCGGUGUCAGGGUGCCCAGGGGUGCCCAGCCCCGGUGCUAUCGGUGCCCAGCCCCGGUGCUCCCGGUGCCAUGGUGCCCAGGGGUACCCAGCCCCAGUCCUUUCAGUGCCAUGGUGCCCAGGGGUACCCAGCCCCGGUGCUAUCGGUGCCAUGGUGCCCAGCCCCGGUCCUUUCAGUGCCAUGGUGCCCAGGGGUGCCCAGCCCCGGUGCUUUCAGUGCCAUGGUGCCCAGGGGUGCCCAGCCCUGGUGCUAUCGGUGCCAUGGUGCCCAGCCCCGGUGCUUUUGGUGCCAUGGUGCCCAGGGGUGCCCAACCCCGGUGUUAUCGGUGCCAUGGUGCCCAGCCCCGGUGCUUUCGGUGCCAUAGAGCCCAGGGGUACCCAGCCCCGGUGCUUUCGGUGCCAUGGUGCCCAGCCCCGGUUCUCCCAGUGCCGUGUUGCCGCGGCGCCGGGUGCUCACUCACUCGGUAGCGGUUGGCGCUGAUCUGCUGCACCUGGAAGCGCUUGGCGCAGUUGCAUUGGGCCACCUGCCUGUUCACCUUGGGGUGGGGGGGGGCAAGGCGUGGGUCAGCCCAGCC